rnacentral:rRNA from 1 species
UGGGGAAUCUUCCGCAAUGGGCGAAAGCCUGACGGAGCAACGCCGCGUGAGUGAAGACGGCCUUCGGGUUGUAAAGCUCUGUUAUAGGGGACGAACGGCCGGGUAGCGAAGAGGUAGCCGGCAUGACGGUACCGUAAGAGAAAGCCACGGCUAACUACGUGCCAGCAGCCGCGGUAAUACGUAGGUGGCAAGCGUUGUCCGGAAUGAUUGGGCGUAAAGGGCGCGCAGGCGGCUGUGUAAGUCUGUCCAGAAAGUGCGGGGCUAAACCCCGUGAGAGGAUGGAAACUGGACAGCUGAGAGUGUCGGAGAGGAAAGCGGAAUUCCUAGUGUAGCGGUGAAAUGCGUAGAUAUUAGGAGGAACACCGGUGGCGAAAGCGGCUUUCUGGACGACAACUGACGCUGAGGCGCGAAAGCCAGGGGAGCAAACGGGAUUAGAUACCCCGGUAGUCCUGGCCGUAAACGAUGGGUACUAGGUGUAGGAGGUAUCGACCCCUCCUGUGCCGGAGUUAACGCAAUAAGUACCCCGCCUGGGGAGUACGGCCGCAAGGCUG